GGCCGUGUGGCGAAAUGGCAUCGCGUCUGACUACGAUUCUUUGGAAACGCGAUCAGGAGAUUGCAGGUUCGACCCCUGUCUCGGUCA